rnacentral:rRNA from 1 species
GGGUUGUGAGGUUAAGCGACUAAGCGUACACGGUGGAUGCCCUGGCAGUCAGAGGCGAUGAAGGACGUGCUAAUCUGCGAUAAGCGUCGGUGAGGUGAUAUGAACCGUUAUAACCGGCGAUUUCCGAAUGGGGAAACCCAGUGUGUUUCGACACACUAUCAUUAACUGAAUCCAUAGGUUAAUGAGGCGAACCGGGGGAACUGAAACAUCUAAGUACCCCGAGGAAAAGAAAUCAACCGAGAUUCCCCCAGUAGCGGCGAGCGAACGGGGAGGAGCCCAGAGCCUGAAUCAGUGUGUGUGUUAGUGGAAGCGUCUGGAAAGGCGCGCGAUACAGGGUGACAGCCCCGUACACAAAAAUGCACAUAUUGUGAGCUCGAUGAGUAGGGCGGGACACGUGGUAUCCUGUCUGAAUAUGGGGGGACCAUCCUCCAAGGCUAAAUACUCCUGACUGACCGAUAGUGAACCAGUACCGUGAGGGAAAGGCGAAAAGAACCCCGGCGAGGGGAGUGAAAAAGAACCUGAAACCGUGUACGUACAAGCAGUGGGAGCCUCUUUAUGGGGUGACUGCGUACCUUUUGUAUAAUGGGUCAGCGACUUAUAUUCUGUAGCAAGGUUAACCGAAUAGGGGAGCCGAAGGGAAACCGAGUCUUAACUGGGCGUUAAGUUGCAGGGUAUAGACCCGAAACCCGGUGAUCUAGCCAUGGGCAGGUUGAAGGUUGGGUAACACUAACUGGAGGACCGAACCGACUAAUGUUGAAAAAUUAGCGGAUGACUUGUGGCUGGGGGUGAAAGGCCAAUCAAACCGGGAGAUAGCUGGUUCUCCCCGAAAGCUAUUUAGGUAGCGCCUCGUGAAUUCAUCUCCGGGGGUAGAGCACUGUUUCGGCAAGGGGGUCAUCCCGACUUACCAACCCGAUGCAAACUGCGAAUACCGGAGAAUGUUAUCACGGGAGACACACGGCGGGUGCUAACGUCCGUCGUGAAGAGGGAAACAACCCAGACCGCCAGCUAAGGUCCCAAAGUCAUGGUUAAGUGGGAAACGAUGUGGGAAGGCCCAGACAGCCAGGAUGUUGGCUUAGAAGCAGCCAUCAUUUAAAGAAAGCGUAAUAGCUCACUGGUCGAGUCGGCCUGCGCGGAAGAUGUAACGGGGCUAAACCAUGCACCGAAGCUGCGGCAGCGACACUAUGUGUUGUUGGGUAGGGGAGCGUUCUGUAAGCCUGUGAAGGUGGCCUGUGAGGGUUGCUGGAGGUAUCAGAAGUGCGAAUGCUGACAUAAGUAACGAUAAAGCGGGUGAAAAGCCCGCUCGCCGGAAGACCAAGGGUUCCUGUCCAACGUUAAUCGGGGCAGGGUGAGUCGACCCCUAAGGCGAGGCCGAAAGGCGUAGUCGAUGGGAAACAGGUUAAUAUUCCUGUACUUGGUGUUACUGCGAAGGGGGGACGGAGAAGGCUAUGUUGGCCGGGCGACGGUUGUCCCGGUUUAAGCGUGUAGGCUGGUUUUCCAGGCAAAUCCGGAAAACCAAGGCUGAGGCGUGAUGACGAGGCACUACGGUGCUGAAGCGACAAAUGCCCUGCUUCCAGGAAAAGCCUCUAAGCAUCAGGUAACAUCAAAUCGUACCCCAAACCGACACAGGUGGUCAGGUAGAGAAUACCAAGGCGCUUGAGAGAACUCGGGUGAAGGAACUAGGCAAAAUGGUGCCGUAACUUCGGGAGAAGGCACGCUGAUAUGUAGGUGAAGCGACUUGCUCGUGGAGCUGAAAUCAGUCGAAGAUACCAGCUGGCUGCAACUGUUUAUUAAAAACACAGCACUGUGCAAACACGAAAGUGGACGUAUACGGUGUGACGCCUGCCCGGUGCCGGAAGGUUAAUUGAUGGGGUUAGCGGCAACGCGAAGCUCUUGAUCGAAGCCCCGGUAAACGGCGGCCGUAACUAUAACGGUCCUAAGGUAGCGAAAUUCCUUGUCGGGUAAGUUCCGACCUGCACGAAUGGCGUAAUGAUGGCCAGGCUGUCUCCACCCGAGACUCAGUGAAAUUGAACUCGCUGUGAAGAUGCAGUGUACCCGCGGCAAGACGGAAAGACCCCGUGAACCUUUACUAUAGCUUGACACUGAACAUUGAGCCUUGAUGUGUAGGAUAGGUGGGAGGCUUUGAAGUGUGGACGCCAGUCUGCAUGGAGCCGACCUUGAAAUACCACCCUUUAAUGUUUGAUGUUCUAACGUUGGCCCGUAAUCCGGGUUGCGGACAGUGUCUGGUGGGUAGUUUGACUGGGGCGGUCUCCUCCUAAAGAGUAACGGAGGAGCACGAAGGUUGGCUAAUCCUGGUCGGACAUCAGGAGGUUAGUGCAAUGGCAUAAGCCAGCUUGACUGCGAGCGUGACGGCGCGAGCAGGUGCGAAAGCAGGUCAUAGUGAUCCGGUGGUUCUGAAUGGAAGGGCCAUCGCUCAACGGAUAAAAGGUACUCCGGGGAUAACAGGCUGAUACCGCCCAAGAGUUCAUAUCGACGGCGGUGUUUGGCACCUCGAUGUCGGCUCAUCACAUCCUGGGGCUGAAGUAGGUCCCAAGGGUAUGGCUGUUCGCCAUUUAAAGUGGUACGCGAGCUGGGUUUAGAACGUCGUGAGACAGUUCGGUCCCUAUCUGCCGUGGGCGCUGGAGAACUGAGGGGGGCUGCUCCUAGUACGAGAGGACCGGAGUGGACGCAUCACUGGUGUUCGGGUUGUCAUGCCAAUGGCACUGCCCGGUAGCUAAGUGCGGAAGAGAUAAGUGCUGAAAGCAUCUAAGCACGAAACUUGCCCCGAGAUGAGUUCUCCCUGAGACUUAGAGUCUCCUGAAGGAACGUUGAAGACGACGACGUUGAUAGGCCGGGUGUGUAAGCGCAGCGAUGCGUUGAGCUAACCGGUACUAAUGAACCGUGAGGCUUAACCUUACAACGCCGAAG